UCAUGUUCAUCUCAACACCUGUUCAUCUUUGCACUACGGGCCAAAGAUAUUCAUUAGUUAAUCAUUCAUCUUUGCACUACAGGCCAAAGAUAUUCAUUUAUAUCACCAUUUAGGACUGAGGAUGAUGAAAAAUCAAAACAUGGAUUAAACUUUAUGAAUAAGGGUCACAACAGAUAAUUUGGAAGAAAAUAAAUUAUUAUUUUUUUGUGAACAGUACCC
rnacentral:lncRNA from 1 species